GUAUUUGGCUUUGUCUGUGAACCUUCAAAAAAAAAAAGGGGGGCGGGGGGGGGGGGGGGAUCAAGUUCGGUUGGGGAAAACCAAUACCCGUUAUGAGAUGGGGAAAAAUUAUAAUAGGGGAAGGGGGACGGGGAAUUAAUAUCCACCUUGUUGGCCCCCAUUGCUGGGCCAUCAGAUAGAGAAAGGGUUGGACACUGAAACUAUUUUCUUAUUUUAUUUUAUUUAUAAUUUUAUGUCAAAAACUUUAUGCACUCUUUGUUACUUCUGAGAUUGUUUGUAAUAUAUCAAGACAAUUUAUGCAUUUUAUUGUUGAUGGCAAUAGUUAUAGUUGGUUCAAAUUAUAGCGAAAAUGAUACGCACCAAAUAGCCCCUUGCUGCUUCCAGUCUUAGUCGCAAGGAAACAUCGAGAAAUAAAGCCCGUUUCUUCUGGGUCAAAGUUGAUUCGAUAUUGGAUUUUUGGGAUAGUGCAAGAGAAUGCAAAGCAAAAUGAUGUUGUUCUUUAGUCUGAAACUCGAGAUGUGGAAAUCAUAUAAACAAUGGUCUUCAAAGUUCUGUGAUUGCUCUGCUGUGGAUGUUACUACUUUAGUAUGUGAUUGCCUACUUGAUUAUAAUUGUAUUUUAUAUAAUUAAAUGUGAACAUCAAUCCGUCUUCUGAAGCUCAUGUCAUGCCCUCUAGAGGAUAUACAUGAUUUUUGUCUGUCUCAAUUUUCUUAAAUUCUGUUAUUAUAGUGAAAAAGAUGCAGUUAUUGUCUAUGGGUUAUGGUAGUGUGUAUAUGUGGUGGGCAUCAUGCCAUUUAUUUGUUUUAUUGCUUGUUUUUCUUAGGUAAUGUUUGGAUCAGGGAUUUGAUGAGGGAAAGGAAAUGGGAAGGGAAAAGUGAAUGAAAUAUAAGUUAAAUUUUGUUCUCCUUUUUGUUCCUUUUUCUUUUCCUUUCGAAAUUACUUCUCAAAUUCUUGAUCCAAGCACAGCUUUAGUGAUAUUAAUAAACUGUUAGCCUGUGAUAUGUUUUGGCAAGAUAGGGGUAUUUUGUUCACUACUGCCUACAAAAUGACUGGUAUCGUUGAUGUUUUGAUGAGGUGCUAUUUAGUAUCCUCUAUAAUGAUUCUAGAAUAAGAGGAAAACUAUUUACAAGUGUAUGGAACUCACCCUUACAUUGUUAGACAUUCCAUUUUUUAUUUUAAACCAUAUGCAUUUAUACUUUUCUUGUAUUUAUAGUUUUCUGUUAAUCUGACUCUUAUUUUGGAUUUUCCAGUUGGUGGAAACCUUUUAGGUAGUGUUUGGUUUGUUGGAAUAAAAUGGAAUGGAACAUCAAAAUGUCCAUUCCCAUGUUAGGUUGGCUAAAAAAAUAAUGAAAAAUACAACACAAAUGGAAUCAUCAUUCACCCAUGGUAAGGGAACGAUCAUUCCAUCGGGAAGUCUAAUUAAUGACCAUUCCAUUCCAUUUCAUCUCAUUCUAGUGAGCCAAGUAGAGCAUUAGAGUUGCAGUAGCAUCAGCAUGAGUGCAUAACUAGAUUGGUUUAAUACUAUCAUUCUAAAGGGUUGCACCACUGGGCAUAUCUAGUCAUAGAGGAUAAAGCCAAGUUAAGCUGCAACAAUAUUACUGUGGGCUUAUAUGCUUCCAAGUUUUUGAAUUUGCAAAAAAGAAACUUCUAAGUUUUUGCUUGAACUUUGCUCUCUCUCUCUCUCUCUCUCUCUUCUUUUUUUUUUUUUAAAUUUUUUUUUUUAAAAUUAAAUUAAAUAUCCAGGUUUUUUAAUUUAUUUUGACAAAGUUGUUUUUCUCUAUGAAGGCCUUAGUGCGGAAAUGAUAUUUUUCUUCAAUUUCUGGUUUCUCUAUGCCAUUAUAGAUUUCCAAUGAAAAGCAAAGCAAAGUGAUGAAUGCUUCUGACCUGAAUUCCAAUGUGGAAUAAUUGCAUUAGUGGUCUUCAAAGUUCUCUGAUUUCUUUCCUGUAUGUUACCAUUAAGUGAGCGAGUAUUUAAGCACGAUAGGUCAACAACAAAGAUGCGACAUCUUAACAUACGUGAUUAUUAUGUAUAGGAUAUGUUAUGGUAAUUUAUAUGCAGUGGUGGGUGGUUUGCACAUUUUUAUUGUGUUUAAUUAUUUUGUUGGUUCCUAACAUUUUUUGAGAGGUACCUAAUUUGCUACAAGGCUGAUUGGUGCUUAGCGGUUUGGUUCAUUGAUAUUUGUCAUGCUAGUUCGGUAGAAUCCUUGACAAGGAGUUCUCUACUCCUACAUGAUUCAAAGUACAACAUUUAAGCUACUAAGAUGGGAUCUUAUUGAUCUUCACCUAGCUGAAAUGAAAGAUUAGUGAUUUUGAGCACCUAAAUACAUGGUCUGUUGUGAAUAUACUUGUUACAGGCUAUACGAGCAUGGUGCGAAAGUAAUAAUUUUUCUUCACUCAAUUGUCACUUGGCUCUUCUAUGCCAAAUGACAUACUAGAACUGAGGAAAGAACAUUCCUUAAAUAUGAUCCUAAUUCGUAUGCUAGAGUCAUCCUAUCAUUGUUAUACCUGACCCAAACUCAACUUGCAUAUACAAUAUCUGAAAUUGCUAUUAGGCUUGUUCAUGAAUCAUUGUGACUGUUUGGUGAGACUAAUGGUGUGAUUAUACCUACAGAUAUAAAAAAAGAUUUCGGUAAAUAUAUAUGUUUUGUUUUUAUAUAUUGGGCCCAAAAAGGAUCUUCGAUGUAUAGGGAUGGUAAUUUGCAUCGAAAUGAUGUGGACUUGCUAUGAUCGCUCCUGGUGGGACAAAGAUGGGAGGUCUGAAGGUGGGGUGGGGGUGAUAGGAAUGGCAGUUAGGCAAGUUCAAUAUGGGAUACUUCUCUCUUGUAACAUCAGCAAAUCCUAUUCCAUCCCUGAACCGACUGGGCAGCAUCAGAUUGCCAAUGGGUUAUAAUUAUUUAAGAAAAUUUUGAACUGGUUUAUAGUUAUCGUAAGGAAAUAUUUUUAAAUUACACAAUACAAUUUAUAUAUAUUAUGCCAUGUAAAAAUCCACAAAGGACUUCAUAUUGGUGCAGGCUUGGGGCAGCAGGAUGAGGAUUGCUUUUAUAUAAAUUGGAAUGCCUUUUGCUCUUAUUGUUUUCUAAGUUCUUUUAAA